UACGUAGGGUGCGAGCGUUAAUCGGAAUUACCGGGCGUAAAGCGUGCGCAGGCGGUCUGUUAAGACCGAUGUGAAAUCCCCGGGCUUAACCUGGGAACUGCAUUGGUGACUGGCAGGCUUUGAGUGUGGCAGAGGGAGGUAGAAUUCCACGUGUAGCAGUGAAAUGCGUAGAGAUGUGGAGGAAUACCGAUGGCGAAGGCGGCGACCUGGGUAGAUACUGACGCUGAGGUGCGAAAGCGUGGGGAGCAAACAGG
rnacentral:rRNA from 1 species